rnacentral:rRNA from 1 species
UACGGAGGGUGCAAGCGUUAUCCGGAUUCACUGGGUUUAAAGGGUGCGUAGGUGGGCAGGUAAGUCAGUGGUGAAAUCUCCGGGCUUAACCCGGAAACUGCCGUUGAUACUAUCUGUCUUGAAUAACGUUGAGGUGAGCGGAAUAUGUCAUGUAGCGGUGAAAUGCUUAGAUAUGACAUAGAACACCGAUUGCGAAGGCAGCUCACUAAACGCUCAUUGACGCUGAGGCACGAAAGCGUGGGGAUCAAACAGG